CCUACGGGAGGCAGCAGUGGGGAAUCUUGCGCAAUGGGCGAAAGCCUGACGCAGCAACGCCGCGUGCGGGAAGAAGGCUUUCGGGCUGUAAACCGCUUUCAGCAGGAACGAAAAUGACGGUACCUGCAGAAGAAGGAGCGGCCAACUAUGUGCCAGCAGCCGCGGUGAUACAUAGGCUUCAAGCGUUGUCCGGAUUUAUUGGGCGUAAAGAGUUCGUAGGCGGUCGAGUAAGUCGGGUGUGAAAAUUCUGGGCUCAACCCAGAGACGCCACCCGAUACUGCUUGACUUGAGUUCGAUAGGGGAGUGGGGAAUUCCUAGUGUAGCGGUGAAAUGCGCAGAUAUUAGGAAGAACACCGGUGGCGAAGGCGCCACUCUGGAUCGAUACUGACGCUGAGGAACGAAAGCAUGGGUAGCAAACAGGAUUAGAUACCCUGGUAGUCCAUGCCGUAAACGGUGGGCACUAGGUGUGGGUUUCUAUUAACGAAAUCCGCGCCGUCGCUAACGCAUUAAGUGCCCCGCCUGGGGGAGGUACGGUCGCGAGAACAAACUACAAAGAAGUAAGUAG
rnacentral:rRNA from 1 species